rnacentral:rRNA from 1 species
AUUGAACGCUGGCGGCAUGCUUUACACAUGCAAGUCGAACGGUAACAGGCCGCAAGGUGCUGACGAGUGGCGAACGGGCGAGUAAUGCAUCGGAACGUGCCCAGUCGUGUGGGAUCACGCAGCGAAAGCUGUGCUAAUACCGCAUACGAUCUAUGGAUGAAAGCGGGGGACCGUAAGGCCUCGUGCGAUUGGAGCGGCCGAUGUCAGAUUAGGUAGUUGGUGGGGUAAAGGCCCACCAAGCCAACGAUCUGUAGCUGGUCUGAGAGGACGACCAGCCACACUGGGACUGAGACACGGCCCAGACUCCUACGGGAGGCAGCAGUGGGGAAUUUUGGACAAUGGGCGCAAGCCUGAUCCAGCAAUGCCGCGUGCAGGAAGAAGGCCUUCGGGUUGUAAACUGCUUUUGUACGGAACGAAACGGUCUGGGUUAAUACCUCGGGCUAAUGACGGUACCGUAAGAAUAAGCACCGGCUAACUACGUGCCAGCAGCCGCCGUAACAC